rnacentral:rRNA from 1 species
AGGACGAACGCUGGCGGCGUGCUUAACACAUGCAAGUCGAACGGGGUGUGCCGGGUAGUAAUACCUUGUACAUCUAGUGGCGAACGGGUGAGUAACACGUGAGCAACCUACCCCGAAGAUUGGGAUAACACCGGGAAACCGAUGCUAAUACCGAAUACCCCCACCGGGUCACAUGGCCUGAUGAGGAAAUGGGUUUCUGCUUCGGGAGGGGCUCGCGGCCUAUCAGCUUGUUGGCAGGGUAAUGGCCUACCAAGGCAACGACGGGUAGCUGGUCUGAGAGGACGACCAGCCACACUGGGACUGAGACACGGCCCAGACUCCUACGGGAGGCAGC